UACAGGGGGGGCAAGCGUUGUUCGGAAUUACUGGGCGUAAAGGGCUCGUAGGCGGCCGGCUAAGUCCGACGUGAAAUCCCCAGGCUUAACCUGGGAACUGCGUCGGAUACUGGCGGGCUUGAAUCCGGGAGAGGGAUGCGGAAUUCCAGGUGUAGCGGCGAAAUGCGUAGAUAUCUGGAGGAACACCGGUGGCGAAGGCGGCAUCCUGGACCAUUAUUGACGCUGAGGAGCGAAAGCCAGGGGAGCAAACGGG
rnacentral:rRNA from 1 species